rnacentral:rRNA from 1 species
CUACCACGCGAGUGGAUGCCAAUCCCCAAAACCUCUCUCAGUUCGGACUGGAGUCUGCAACCCGACUCCACGAAGCUGGAUUCGCUAGUAAUCGCGCAUCAGCCACGGCGCGGCGAAUACGUUCCCGGGCCUUGUACACACCGCCCGUCAAGCCAUGGGAGCCGGGGGUACCUGAAGUGCGUAACCGCGAGGAGCGCCCUAGGGUAAAACUGGUGACUGGGGCUAAGUCGUAACAAGGUAAC